CCUGUUUAACAAAAACAUGUCUUUUUGAGUUAUUUUUAAAGUCUGACCUGCCCACUGAAAUUUUUAAAUGGCCGCAGUAUUCUAACUGUGCAAAGGUAGCAUAAUCAUUAGUCUUUUAAUUGAAGGCUGGUAUGAAUGGUUGGACGAGGUAUAAGCUGUUUCAUAUAAAUUUAUAAUAGAAUUUUAUAUUUUAGUCAAAAAGCUAAAAUUUAAUUAAAAGACGAGAAGACCCUAUAAAUCUUUAUACUUUACGUUGUUUAAAUUUUUUAGAUUGGUUUUAUUUUUAUAGUUUAAAGUAUUUUGUUGGGGUGAUGUUAAAAUUUAAUGAACUUUUAAUUAUUAAAAAUCAUUAAUUUAUGAUUUAUUGAUCCAUUAGUAGUGAUUAUAAGAUUAAGUUACUUUAGGGAUAACAGCGUAAUUUUUUUGGAGAGUUCAUAUCGAUAAAAAAGUUUGCGACCUCGAUGUUGGAUUAAGAUAUAUUUUUAGGUGUAGCCGCUUAAAU
rnacentral:rRNA from 1 species